rnacentral:lncRNA from 1 species
GAAACACCCAAGAAUUAUCAAUAAAAAAAUAAAUUAAAAAAAAAAAAAAAAAAAGAAUAGAUGCUGGGGAACAAUUAGCUGUGUGCAACAGAGUUUACCUUUUGGAAAGAUCUCUUGGGGGAAGGGUGGAGAAAGGGCUGGAUGGUAACAGAUCACAGCCAAAGAAAUAACCUGAACCAAGGCAGAGACAUCCGGGAUGGAGAGAAGUGGCAGAAGGCUUAUGAGAUAUGGAAGUUGAAUGGACAGGAUGUGUGACUAAUUGGCUAUACUUCUAAUUAACUGUACUUAUCAUAGCCUGUAUUUAUGCGAUUAACUAUUUAAUAUCUACGUUUCAGGACGGGCUCACACCUGUAAUCCCAGCACUUUGGGAGGCUGAGGCGGGCAGAUCACGAGGUCAGGAGAUAGAGACCAUCCUGGCCAACAUGGUGAAACCCCGUUUCCACUAAAAAUACAAAAAUUAGCUGGGUUGGUGGUGUGUGCCUGUAAUCCCAACUAUUCGGGAGGCUGAGCCCCAAGAAUCACUUGAACCCAGGAGGCGGAGGUUGCUGUGAGCCAAGAUAAUGCUACUGUACUCCAGCCUGGCGAUAGAGCGAGACUCCAUCUCAAAACAAACAAACAAACAAAAAAAACAAAAAAAGGCUAGGCGCAGCGGCUCACGCCUGUAAUCCCAACAUUUCGGGAGGCUGAGAUGGGCGGAUCACAAGGUCAGGAGUUUGAAAUCAGCCUGGCCAACACAGUGAAACCUCAUUUCUACUAAAAAAAUACAAAAAUAUUAGCUGGACAUGGUGGCGGGUGCCUUUCAUCCCAGCUACUUGGGAGACUGAGGCAAGGUGAAUUGCUUGAACCUGGGAGGUGGAGGAUGCAGUGAGCCAAGAUUGCGCCACUGCGCUCCAGCCCAAGCAACAGUGCAAGACUCUGUCUCAGAAAAAAAAAAAUCUCCCUCUCCAGGAGGAUUAUAAGCUCCAUGAAGACAGAGAUUGAGUCUGUUUUGCUUAUCACAGCAUCCCAGGGCCAGUGCCAAAUACAGUGCCUGGCAUACAAUAAGUGCUUAUGUGUGAGCGAAUGAAUGAGAUAAAAGAGGAGCAGCCAAGGACAAUAACAACAAUAACUCUGGGGACAAGUUUGAUUGAGAAAAAUCAAAAUCUUAAAGUAAACGUCAAACAAAAAAAAAUUUUUUUUUUUUGAGACAGGGUCUUACCCUAUUGACCAGGCUAGAGGGCAGUGGCACGAUCACAGCUCACUUCAGCCUCGACCUCUCCAAGUAGCUGGGACUAUACUACAGGUGGGUGCCACCACCUCUAGCUGAUUUUUGUAUUUUUCUUUUUCUUUUUUUUUGAGACGGAGUCUUGCUCUGUCACCAGGCUGGAGUGCAGUGGUGGGAUCUCGGCUCACUGCAACCUCCGCCUCCUGGUUUCAAGCGAUUCUCCUGCCUCAGCCUCCUGAGUAGCUGGAUUACAGGUGCAUGCCACCACACCCAGCUAAUUUUUGUAUUUUUAGUAGAGAUGGGGUUUUGCCAUGUUGGCCAGGCUGGUCUUGAACUCCUGACCUCAGGUAAUCCACCCACCUCAGCCUCCCAAAGUGUUGGGAUUACAGGCAUAAACCACAGCACCUGGCCUAACAGUUAUUUUUAAAAAUAAUUUCUACCAACUGUAAUCUGUCAUCCCCUUUCCUGACGGACAUUUGGCCCCCUUGAUGACAUCUCCAGCUGGUUCCAAAACUUUUCAGUCGUUUUUAGUUAUUAAUGCAGUCUCUUGUUUCAGCCAUUAACUUGGUCUUUCCAUUUUCGAAGGUCAGUCUCCUUUGGGACUCACAGUCCAGCAGGCAGGCCUAUGGCAUGGAGGGGAGAUGGGUCUGCUCUCUCUUGUCUGCCCUCUGGUGGGGAGAAACAAGAAGGAAAAAAAGGACUUGUUUCCUUAGAUGUCCCCUGCUGGCCCUUGGCUGACCUCUUCUUCGCUUCUCGCGAGGUGUCUGUGUUCCUGUCCUCUCAGACAUCACAGCUGCUCAGCUCCUUAUCUGUAGACACGGGGUGAUGGAGUAGCACGCUGCAAAAGGGCUUGGUGCCUAGUUGCUCUCCUCUGCUGGUGGCCUCUGGCUCACCCUUCACAGUGCACCUCUUUGCCCCCCGCAGGCCUGCUGCCCCAUCACAUCUACCCUCUGCAGCCCCAGCCUGGGGCCUGUGGACACAGGCCUGUCUCAGAAAAAAUCUCAGAAUCCAUCUUUCUGCCACUCCUUGCCACCUGAUCACAUCCUUGGCCUUCCCUCUCCAUGCCCUUUCCCCUAUUUCGUAGCACCAGGACAGGUUGGCAAGUGUAGUUGCUCAGCAAACAUCAUCAGGGAAGGAGAAGUCAGAUGCCCUCUGGUGGCACCGCACACCUGAUGAAUGAUUCUUUUGGCUCUGUUCCAGUUAGCUACUGUCCUAGUUAGCUCUGUUCCAGUUAGCUUGUGUAACUAACGGAUCAGCCUCAACUUCGAGGUAUAACACAAUCACCAUUUCAUCAUGGUCAUGGAAUCUGUGGGUCAGGAGUUUCACAAGGCACAGUGGGGAUGACUGGUCUCUGCUUACGGUAGGUGGCCUCCAAGAUGGCUCUCAAAGUCCCCUCCCCCCUGGUAUUCACCCCCUUGUGUAGUCCCCUGCCACACCAUAUCAGUUGGUCUGUGUGACCAAUAGAACAUAGCAGAAGUGAUAGUAUGUCGCUUUUGAAGCUAGGUUGUGGAAGAUAGUGUGAGGCUGGGCGCGGUAUCUUACACUUAUAAUCCCAGCACUUGGGGAGGCCAAGGUAGAAGGAUCGCUUCUACUUGAUUGAGAAAAGCCAGGAGUUUGAGACCAGUCUGGGCAACAUAGGGAGACCCUGUAUCUACAAAAAAAUUUUUAAAAAUUAGCCGGUGCAGAACGAGACUCCGUCUCAAAAAAAAAAAAAAAUUAGCCGGUGCAAUGACUCACACCUGUAGUCGCAGCUAGUUGGGAGGCUGAGGCAGGAGGAUUGCUUGAACACAGGAGGUAGAGGCUGUAGUGAUCUGUGAUUGUGCCACUCUGCACUCUAGCCUGGGUGACAGUGCAAGACUCUGUCUCAGAAAAAAAAAAAAAAGAAGAUAUUGUGGCUUCUGCCUCUCUGUCUCUUGGAUCACUCCCUUGGGGAAGCCAGGUGCCGUGUUGUGAGGCCAGCUGCCUCUAUGGAGAGGCCCACCUGGAGAGGAACUGAGGCUUCCUGCCAAUGGCCACAUGAAUGAGCUUGGAAAUGGAUCCUCUGGCCCCAGAGAAAGUAGAUGACUGCAGCCCUGCCGACAGCUUAACUGCAAUUUCAUGAGAGACCUCGAAUCAGAAUCACCCAGAUAUGCUACUCUUGGAUUCCUGACUAUCAGAAACUGUGCCCGUCCCCAGUUGGUGAGUUUUCCAGUGGCCGGAAGACCGAGCCCUAGAGUAACAGCUGUGGACUCACUGCCCACUCUGUGUUUAUUGGGCUGGAACCCCCUCUCUGUCCUGGAACUUCUGGUUGGAGAGCCCUCUGAGCUCAUGGGGCCUGUGAAUGGUGGGUCUUGGAGUGAUUUCCAGCCCCAGUGAUCAGGUGUCCUGUCAGUGCCCCUCAACUCCCUGCAGUCCCCUACUUCCCAUCAAGCCAACUCCCAAAUUCCAGGAUGUGACAGUUCCCAGGUCUACUGCCUUCCAGGCACUGAGCUCAUGUUGGGGACCCAGAAAUAAAUGAGAUACAUACAACCUC